rnacentral:rRNA from 1 species
UACGUAGGGCGCAAGCGUUUAUCCGGAAUUAUUGGGCGUAAAGAGCUCGUAGGCGGUUUGUCGCGUCUGCCGUGAAAGUCCGGGGCUCAACUCCGGAUCUGCGGUGGGUACGGGCAGACUAGAGGUAGGCAGGGGAGAGCGGAACUCCUGGUGUAGCGGUGGAAUGCGCAGAUAUCAGGAAGAACACCGGUGGCGAAGGCGGCUCUCUGGGACGGUACUGACGCUGAGACGCGAAAGCGUGGGGGAGCGAACAGG